CUGGUUUUGCAGAAGAUGCAGCAAGGCGACUGUCCUUCAUGAAUGGUCUCUGAAUCCAUGGAAACACUCUCUAUCCAGAGAAGAGAGACUGGAAAGUGCCCACGCGGUUUUCACUGACUCACUGUGAAAUGUCACUCAUCAUUCACUUCCUCUUACACCCAUUUGCCAGAACCAGGGACCUCCAGAAUACUGCAGAAUGGAUGUUGGGAGAGCAAACAUCUUCAUUCUCCCCACAGUCUCAAAGGGAACAUUUUCAAAGUUUUGAUUUUAAAUGCAUUGGUUGUUAUAGGUCUGCUUGUAGCUACUCUUUACUAGAUUACUUCAGUGCUUGCUUUUUUUCAAUUUCUAAGAUUUUUAAUAACAAAUGGAUAUUGAAUUUUAGCAAAUGCUUUCUUCUGCACGUAUUGAGAUGAAUAUAUGAUUUUCUCCCCCUUUGAUCUUAACAGGUGGCAAAUUACAUUGAUUUUCUCAUGAUAAAGUGACAAUUAUACCAGCAUCCUGGAAUAAAACAAAAUUGAAAAUGA